UGGCUCAGUGGUAGAGCGCCUGCCUUGCAUGCAAGAGGCCCUGGGUUCAAUUCCUCAG
rnacentral:tRNA from 1 species